rnacentral:rRNA from 1 species
UACGUAGGGGGCAAGCGUUGUCCGGAUUUAUUGGGCGUAAAGAGCGUGUAGGCGGUUUGGUAGGUCCGUUGUGAAAACUCGAGGCUCAACCUCGAGACGCCGGCGGAAACCAUCAGGCUAGAGUGCGGGAGAGGAGAGUGGAAUUCCCGGUGUAGCGGUGAAAUGCGCAGGAUAUCGGGAAGAACACCCGUGGCGAAGGCGGCUCUCUGGAACGCAACUGACGCUGAGACGCGAAAGCGUGGGGAGCAAACAGG